rnacentral:rRNA from 1 species
GACGAACGCUGGCGGCGUGCUUAACACAUGCAAGUCGAACGGAAAGGCCCCUUUGGGGGUACUCGAGUGGCGAACGGGUGCGUAACACGUGAGUAACCUGCCCUUGACUUCGGGAUAACUUCAGGAAACUGGGGCUAAUACCGGAUAGGAAUCCUUGCUGCAUGGUGGGGGUUGGAAAGCUUCGGCGGUUUUGGAUGGACUCGCGGCUUAUCAGCUUGUUGGUGGGGUAGUGGCUUACCAAGGCUUUGACGGGUAGCCGGCCUGAGAGGGCGACCGGCCACAUUGGGACUGAGGGACGGCCCAGACUCCUACGGGAGGCAGCAGGGGGGAAUAUUGCACAAGGGGCGGAAGCCUGAUGCAGCAACGCCGCGUGCGGGAUGACGGCCUUCGGGUUGUAAACCGCUUUCAGCAGGGGCGAAGCUUGUGGUGACGGUACCUGCAGAAGAAGCACCGGCUAACUACGUG